GUGCAGCUGAGGACUUCCCCUCCGUGGUGACAGAGCCUCUGGGUCCUCGGUCGGUACAGUCUCUGCACCUCGCGCCCCAGCAGGUAAACUAACAUUAUGGAUUUUUCCAAGCUACCCAAAAUACUCGAUGAAGAUAAAGAAAGCACAUUUGGUUAUGUGCAUGGGGUCUCAGGACCUGGUAAGUAAUACAUCAUAAUCUCAAAAUAAGGAUAUCUAACUUUGAUUAAUGUCUUUUCAAAAUAUUUUACAUAGAAAUAUACAACUUUCUGUUACCUGCAUAAAUUCUGUUUGUCCUUAGGCGAUCUCACAGUGACUAUAAGACCGAAGUAGAAUCUCUGUCAUAAGGGCUCAUCUAGCAUUGAUUAUCUAAAUUUUAUAAUUAUUGAGGUGCUACUUUGUGAUAUCCUGUUUAUGAUUAUGUAAAUGUUCAACCAGUGUUCAGUUUUAUAUGUCUUAAUUUUUUGUUAAAUUUGAGGUAAAGAAACUAUGAAGUUUAUAGCUUUUAAUAUG
rnacentral:sRNA from 1 species